CACGUAGGGCGCAAGCGUUGUCCGGAAUUAUUGGGCGUAAAGAGCUCGUAGGCGGUCUGUUACGUCUGCUGUGAAAACCCAGGGCUUAACCCUGGGCUUGCAGUGGAUACGGGCAGACUAGAGGCAGGUAGGGGAGAAUGGAAUUCCCGGUGUAGCGGUGAAAUGCGCAGAUAUCGGGAGGAACACCGGUGGCGAAGGCGGGUCUCUGGGCCGAUACUGACGCUGAGGAGCGAAAGCGUGGGGAGCGAACAGG
rnacentral:rRNA from 1 species